CACGUAGGGUGCGAGCGUUGUCCGGAAUUACUGGGCUUAAAGAGUUCGUAGGCGGCAUGAAAAGUAGGGUGUGAAAGCCCUCGGCUCAACCGAGGAAUUGCGCUCUAAACUGUCGUGCUCGAGGAAUCUAGAGGUGAGCGGAACUGAUGGUGGAGCGGUGAAAUGCGUUGAUAUCAUCAGGAACACCGGAGGCGAAGGCGGCUCACUGGGGAUUUUCUGACGCUGAGGAACGAAAGCCAGGGGAGCGAACGGG
rnacentral:rRNA from 1 species